rnacentral:tRNA from 1 species
AAAAAUUUAGUUAAUUUAUAACAUUAAUUUGUCAAAUUAAAAUAAUCAUAUUGAUAAUUUUUA